rnacentral:rRNA from 1 species
UAACCGAGGAAGUGCAUCGGAAACUGGGAAACUUGAGUGCAGAAGGAGGACAGUGGAACUCCAUGUGUAGCGGUGAAAUGCGUAGAUAUAUGGAAGAACACCAGUGGCGAAGGCGGCUGUCUGGUCUGUAACUGACGCUGAGGCUCGAAAGCAUGGGUAGCGAACAGGAUUAGAUACCCUGGUAGUCCAUGCCGUAAACGAUGAAUGCUAGGUGUUGGAGGGUUUCCGCCCUUCAGUGCCGCAGCUAACGCAUUAAGCAUUCCGCCUGGGGAGUACGACCGCAAGGUUGAAACUCAAAGGAAUUGACGGGGGCCCGCACAAGCGGUGGAGCAUGUGGUUUAAUUCGAAGCAACGCGAAGAACCUUACCAGGUCUUGACAUCUUUUGAUCACCUGAGAGAUCAGGUUUCCCCUUCGGGGGCAAAAUGACAGGUGGUGCAUGGUUGUCGUCAGCUCGUGUCGUGAGAUGUUGGGUUAAGUCCCGCAACGAGCGCAACCCUUAUGACUAGUUGCCAGCAUUUAGUUGGGCACUCUAGUAAGACUGCCGGUGACAAACCGGAGGAAGGUGGGGAUGACGUCAAAUCAUCAUGCCCCUUAUGACCUGGGCUACACACGUGCUACAAUGGAUGGUACAACGAGUUGCGAGACCGCGAGGUCAAGCUAAUCUCUUAAAGCCAUUCUCAGUUCGGACUGUAGGCUGCAACUCGCCUACACGAAGUCGGAAUCGCUAGUAAUCGCGGAUCAGCACGCCGCGGUGAAUACGUUCCCGGGCCUUGUACACACCGCCCGUCACACCAUGAGAGUUUGUAACACCCGAAGCCGGUGGCGUAACCCUUUUAGGGAGCGAGCCGUCUAAGGUGGGACAAAUGAUUAGGGUGAA